rnacentral:rRNA from 1 species
CCUACGGGAGGCAGCAGUGGGGAAUAUUGUACAAUGGGGGAAACCCUGAUGCAGCAACGCCGCGUGAAGGAAGACGGUUUUCGGAUUGUAAACUUCUGUUCUUAGUGAAGAAUAAUGACGGUAGCCAAGGAGCAAGCCACGGCUAACUACGUGCCAGCAGCCGCGGUAAUACGUAGGUGGCAAGCGUUGUCCGGAAUUACUGGGUGUAAAGGGAGCGCAGGCGGGAAGCCAAGUCAGCUGUGAAAACUACGGGCUUAACUUGUAGACUGCAGUUGAAACUGGUUUUCUUGAGUGAAGUAGAGGUUGGCGGAAGUCCGAGUGUAGCGGUGAAAUGCGUAGAUAUUAGGAGGAACACCAGUGGCGAAGGCGGCCUACUGGACGGUGACUGACGCUGAGGCUCGAAAGCGUGGGGAGCAAACAGGAUUAGAUACCCUAGUAGUC